GGUGCCAAAGAGGAAGAUGAAUUGUAAAAGGGAUCCAUGGGAAUCACUUGUUGUCGGGUUAUCUUGAGUAUGUAUGUGGUAGAAUGACACAGAGAGAAAAUGCAAAAGCAGAGUUGGAAGUUAAAGGAAAAGAAGGUGAGAUGAAGCAGAGAUGGAGCUACAGGAGACAGGCACUGCAGCAUCCUGAAAGAUAUCCUGUUUUCCUUGGUUUACAAAGACAACUCAGUGUCGAGGCAACUGAAGACGGGUGUGCUGGGCUAACACAAAUUUAACUGAAGCCAAGAAUGCCCUGGUUUGGCUCUGGAAAGGGUACUAAGCAGCCAAGGACACUUGGAAGGCCAAAUCUAAACCAGUACGGUGUUUUGCCCGUUCCCUGCUUCUGUGAGGUCAGUGCUGGCCAGUGAGACCAUUGGAGAAAUAAGAUAAUGGCUCUUCUCUCCAGAAAGUCUCUGGAUUUCUCUGGAAAAGAAAACUUUUAUGACAAAUUCAAAAACUGUGGAAAUUUUAUGACAGAUUUUUAAUAAAUUACUACUGAGCUUUUGCUAUCUGAGUUGCCCAUCCACGCUGCUGUAUUGUCUUUGCCAAAAGAUACUGUUAACCAACAACUAGGACCUCUGUAACUGCCCAGGAGGAAGAUUGUCCUGUGUCAACUUCCUGCCAUUUGAUAUUGGUUGAGUUACUCUUGGCUCAGACAAAUACAAAUGGGAGAAGAUGUGAGUCCUGAUAUAUAGGAUGACCAGCCAACGUAGACACACCGCAGUCUGCCUUCACUAAUGUAAAGUGGGCAUCUUGGCAAGAGACUUGAAGAUAUUUAAAAUCCCUAAUUAAUGCCAGGCUCAGAGGACUUAGGCUCACUGGUCCCUGCUCCAGGCUACAGCAGCCAGUGGAAGCACCAACACCAGCAUUGCAAUGGUUCAAAGGUUGCCGAGGACUGAAGCCUCUGAAGUCAUCAUCUUUAUCUCAUUUAGCGAACAAAAAAGGCACCCAGAUUGCAUUUGGAUGCAGGAUCACCAGAGAAGUGGUUGAAAAGCACCUAAAGAUUUUAAUUGGAAUUUUUUUCAUGUUCAAGAAUUCAGAUGAUCCUUGUAUCAGAAGUAAAGCCUUAAAAUGCUGAAUUGAAAAUAAGAGAUGAUGGAGUCAAAAUGACUGCUUCUGCUGUAUGUAUCUUGGAGCUGGAUUUUCCUAUGAGGUCUGUGGAAGCUUGCUACCUUGUUAAAUGCCCAGCUUUCAUUAAAUCCACACCUGAAGGUUACGAAGCUUAUACAUAUGUCAAAGGUGCGACAAGGACGUCUUUCUCCACUGAAGGAUGCUGAAGUAAGUGUUGAUAAAAACAUCACACAUAAAAGAGUGAUCAAAUGAAAACAGAGACAAGAGGAUGCUAAAUAGAGAAAAGAAGCUGGAUCUGGGAUUUGAUGGCUGACCAUGAACAGCUGUGAACAGUGGCCACAGCAAACCCCUGUUCAGGAUCCAGGAGGAAUCCUUCACCGCCAGCCUAGGGAGAACAUCGGUGACAGCCGCUGGAAUGCCUUGAUCACACACUCCCAGCAUCCUGCCCUGCCAGCAGCAGGAGGAAAGUCCAGUUUAUGUUAAUAAGGUGCAGAGAGUGGCCAAAAUAUUCUGUGAAUUUUCCAGCUCAAAAGGGUAAUGAAACUACCUCUGUCUCAGUGCGCUGGCACAGGAGCAAACUAAACAACUGGGAAACGUGUUUCAGAGGAGAAAUACAGAGCACAAACUCCCUGGAUUUCACACUUCCACUGAGGGCUGAGCUUUGCCUCUUUCCACCUCUUUUCCAGGCUGGCUGAACCCUUUUGCACAAAACGUGGGAGGGAUGGGGGAGGGCAAGCAGGCUUUUCUGCAGAUUAGCUUCAGACAGCUCUUGCCAGACCAAAAGUUACAUUGGAAAGCAUUUCUUAGUUUAUACCAAAACAAUUAAUUGUUUAAUAUGUAAAGCAAACCCAGAAAAUUAUUCCCGUAAAUUUGGUUUAAAAUCUACCUUUUUAUUAGCUUUGAGCAAAAGAAACCUCUAAACUGCUGGGAGCACAGUCAGAUUCUUUGGGCUCUCUUCAAAAAGCUCGCUCUUUUUGUCAUUCCUCUCUGACCUCCUCCCUGCUAGUCCCGGGAUGAAAAGCAAGCCAAAGAUCUGCUGAGAAAUGGGCCGAGCCACUGCUGACCUUUGCAAAUCCAAUUUCUUCAAAGUGAGAGCUAAUCGACGCGUUCCCACGCUGUGUAUUGCUGAAACUUACGAUGCAAUUCAAGGAAUGAAUUCACCAUGGUGCAAUCUCAUUUUGAAUCCAGUUUUCUUGCUAUGUGUCAGAGGGUGAAGGAGGCAGAAUGUGGUACAAGUUAUAGAGAGCAGUCUCACACAAGUUUCACAAGCUGUGUAAGUCUGUCUUUGAAAGAUUUUGCACUUUGGCAGGGCUCUUUCCCUUAAAAUCUAAAAUAUAUUGGCCUCCCUCCCACGUCCUUCUACCUUCCUCUCCCUCAAAAACAGAGACAUUUUGCAGUUAUUUAAAACAAAAAUAAGCUGAUGAAAGUUUAUACUAAGCAAUCUCCAAACAGAAAAAGAAAUAGUCUCUGAAGGUAUUAUCUGAUGUGUAACCAAGGUGCCUCUUGGGGAGAUUUGUGUGCACAGGAGCUGAAGGUGAAUGGGAUUGUGCUACGGGGAGAGAUUUAGAAUUCAUAUUUAAAAUUCAUGUUCUCUCUCUCACAUUGCAUAUCUGUUCUGGUAUAAUCACUAUCCUGAUGGUACAGCAGCCAGAGUGCUCCACUCUGUGUGAAGUUUUGCAAUCUCUGCUAGGUACCGCAGCUGUGCCAGCACGAUUCGUGCAGGAAAAGCGCAUUGGCAUUCCCAACCUAAAUCUCAUAAUCUUGUUUCAACAGGUGCCUGGAGACUGGCCCCCUCCCUGUUUCCCAGAAGGUGCUGCCAUUUGUUUCCCACUCAACUGGCCAAGCCCUGGCUGAGCACAGCCCUGGGCAGCCCACUGGACCCAGCGGGAGCAGCGGCAGCACACCACAUCCUGCUGGCACGCCCCGAGCGGGGCGGGUUUGCGCAAUGCUGCAACUUCUUGUCUGGGGCAAAAGGGACACGAGGACUCUCAUUCCUCAUUUAACUACUGUGGGGCAUAUGUCAUGGGUAGCACAUCCCAAAGAGAUGCUUUCAGCAGCCAAAGAGGGCAGUUAUGUCAUUCCCAGCAGGGGUUGGGCUUGCUGUGCCUCCCUGGGGAUGCCACCUCUCCAGCUGGGAAGCCCUGGCAUGGCAGGUAGAAGCCAAGCUGCUCCACGUUUGGUGCCUGACCACAGACCUCCCAGAGUGUGGUGUUCCUGGCCGGUUUGGCCAUGUAGUAGAACCAAAGAUAUCGUCAUUUACUUUUUUAGCUGAUUACCAUCUUCAUUGCACGACUGUCAUUCCACUACAGCUGAUGUAAUGGCAAGUCAAAUCCUUGGGCUAAUGGGGUGAACUGUGCCUUGGCUGUAAACUGCAGGCUUCCAGAGGAAGCCUCAAUGCUCUCAUUUUGUAUUUGUCCUUAGGAAAGCAAAUGAAAAUAUACCAUUGUUCUCAAGAUUGCUGAAAGAAGCAAGUCCUUUUUCUAAAUUUUAUUUCUGUAGCCAUGAAUAGUAAAUUUCCUUCAUUCAUGACUGAUUUAUAAAGGAGUUUGCUAACUAACCAGAUCUGAAGAACUUUCUUUCUCAGCAAGCAUUGCAAUAAGAGAAUUGCUUGUGUUUUUAUUACUUUCUCAAUAUUUUUGUUAUCCUCUUUCCCAAGACACAAUUAGAUUUUCCAGUCUUCUGGACAUCAAAGAUUUUGGAGAAGAGAUUGUAUAAACUGAAUAGGUAACAGCUGUUACCAGAUGGAUUUACUGGUGGAAAGGGGGGAGGGCUAAUUUGUUUUAUGUGUUUCCUCCCACUGUUGGCACCUUUCACUGUGGCACGCUGUUCCUGUCCUGUGACUGGGAGUGUCUGGGCACAGAGGGAGCCCUUGUCCACAGGAUUACACCUAACUUUGGCUUUUGCUCUAGUUUGUAAGUGACUUUGCCAAGUGCCUUCAUCAUAGCUCUUUUGCCUGGUCCUCCAGUGGUUUAUUAGAGAGACAAAAAUGAGAGAGUAGCUCUGAUAUUGUUAGGUAACAGCAGUGACUGACAGAUUUUCAUUUCUGACCUUUUCAAGUCAGAAGUUUGCUUCACUUCUGGAUAUCCCAGGACACUUACGGUUGGAUUUAUUUUUGAAAAAAAAAAUGUAUUUCCUCAAGGAAGGUCACAGUACCAAAGAAGAGUUGCAACUGUAUCAUCUCUGUGGUGCCCUUCUAUUUAACAUGGGAAUGAGCAUUUGCAUGAAUCUUCUUUAUUUCUCCAUCUACUGUAAAAUUACUUGUGUUCUUCUUUUAGAUUGCUGACUGUUUAAGAAAGGUCAUAGAGGGGAAAUGGUGAUUUGUACUACUGUAAAGUACUAGCUGAUAAAAGAGAUUGUGUGCAUGUAUAACAACCUGAUUUUUGCAUAUUGCUAUACCAACAAUAUCUGAUCCCAUUCAGAUAACAGUAAAGCAGCCUACAGCUUUGACCAGAUCCAAAGAAACUCACACUGCUUGUUCUUUUCUUUCUUAUUUCAGGUUUGAUCUACUUGCUUUGACAUUUGUGUGUUGUUUUUUUAAGUACCUACCCUCAAGUUCUUCAAGCUUCAGCAAGAGAGCACUUUCAAUACAUAUUGUCUGCAAAAGUGUCCCAUGUCCUAGGAAUAUGCUGACAUCCAAUCUGAUUUAAAAAUUUGAGAGGGACUGUAAUCUUCACAAUCUAGUCCCUUUCUUUCUGGGGUAGCCUAGAUGAACACUUUUGAUCCUUUCCUUCUCUGAGCAGCUUCAGAAUCCAUUGCCAUUGCAGGAGAGGAGAUGCUGCCUUCACCCAGUCUGUGAGGAUCCUCGGACCAUUGCAAAAAUGCUCAGAUUCCCACAGAGUUUAACUCUUUUCUGCAGCUGGCCUGGGGGCACUGGGCACCUCAGCUGGGGGAAUACCACUGGAGCAGAUAGUCCAUGCCAAUGGCUGCUGGACCACUACAGGAUAAUGAAUCCUGGCUGGAGAGGGACAGAACAGAAUCCACAUCCAGAAAAUCAUCUCUAAUGUGAUUUUAAGCCUUAAUUAAUUUCAAACUGUUUUCCUCCAUCUCCCUCAUUCACUCGCUCAGUACUGCUCCACAUAGUUAAUGCAAAUGACCAAGAAAAGAGAGGAAGUCCAUCUAAAAGAGCAACUGAGCUUUUGUGCAACACCCAGAGUAUUUUUUUCUGCACAACCAAUGGAGAAAUUAGAAUAGCUCUGCCAGUUUCAAGACAAAAUUUUCCAUCUUUUGUGAGCAUUUAGACUCCAAUAAGUAUCUAACUACAGAGCCAAAGACAGAAAUGUGGAGCAGGCUCAAGACUAGCUGGGUAGUUUGCUGCAUGAACAGGGAAGUGAGGUCCUUGAUUUUUCUUUGAAGAAAACAAGUUUGCUGUGUACAAUUAAUAUAAAUAGGAAGAGAAGGAGGUGUCUGGCUAAUAGCGAAAGGUACAGUGAAAUCUAGAUUGUAGUCCCUGUUUUACACACAGCCCUUUCCAUAUGCCAAGUUAGGAACCAUGCAGGUGAAUGAAUGUUACCCUGUUAUCUCUGGGUCCCCAGGCUGGGUGCAAGCACACAUGGAAUUAAGCACAUUUAAUGCUUGUAUAGUGGCAAAACAGGUGAAAAUCACAGCCUUUUAAAGGUGUGUUAAACAGGACAGUCUCUCUCUCAUCCAGAAUAGGGAUCUGUUGGCAAGUCUAAGAAUCAGCAGCAGCUUGUACAAGUGGUCAUACCAAAUGGUUGCUAAGCUGUGAAAGCAAUAGGUAAUUCAGGUGUGGUAUCUCACAGCCUGGUGUUAUCUUUAAAGUGAAUUUUGUGAGCUUGCGGCAGUCUUGUGCAGGUAGUGUAUGUCAAGUUAAAGCUACAGUUCAUAGAAACACAGAAUCACAGAAUGAUUUCUGUUGGAAGGGACCUUAAAGAUCAUCUUGUUCCAACCCCCCUGCCGCAGGCAAGGACACCCUCAACCAGACCAGGUUUCUCAAAGUCCCUUGCAGGGAAUGGGGCAUGAAGUAUUUCUUUUGCAUCACACCACAAGCUGUUUGCACAGAAGCUAAAGAGCUGUUUUCAGAGCACUAUGGGUAGAUGCUGCUAUCGUUAUUUUUACUACUUCCUUAUGUAUUUCAGGCUCUGCAGUGACAGUGAUGAUUAAAUAAAAAAUCAAAAAUCGUUGACUUGACUAAUUAUUUUUCACGAAGGAACAUUUAUUUAUGGUGACACUGAAAUAUCAUUGCAGUGCUCCGAAGCAGUACAGAAACUGGGAAUUUUAAUAGCCAACAGGAGAUUGAAGGUCUUUGGCUCAAGAGCUUUACUAUGAAGACAUAACAAUAUUUUUCUUCUAAUGUAGUAGCAUCUUCAUAAAAAUCUGUUAAACUGCAACUUGCAGAGGAAGUGUAAAGCACAAAGCAAAUUAAAGUACAAUAACCCUGAAAGGACAAAUUGGUUUAACCAGCAAUAUAGUACUUACAGGAAAAAGAAUUGAGAUUACUGAUGGCUCAGUGCACAGAAGCAGCAUUUAGUGUCAUGGAAAAGUGGAUACCAUGAAUAAAUUCUGUCAGUUUUGUGCUGGCCUUUUUCUCAUUUUACAUGGCAAAUACUUUGAUCCGCGUUAUAAACUAGGUACUUUUACAACCCUUGCAAAUUUACUGCCCCAAUCUACAGAUGAAUUAAUUUAAUCAUAAGUAUUUCACCAGGCAUUUUUCAAACCUUUAAUUAAGUUUCAUUGUUUACAGCCUGUGAGUAUUGCAUGCAGAUAUAAUUUAAGAGCACAACCUGCUUGUUGACUGUAGUUUGAAAGAAAAUGAAAAAAUGGUUAGUUGCUAUUAUUUAAAACUCCAAAGCAUUCGAGCUGGAAUAUAUGUGGGGUUUUUUUUCUUUGAAAGAAUUUCUUCCUUUUAUGAAUUUCUCUCUGUAAUCUUGCCAUUUCUGUGCCUGUAAAUACAUAUAUUCUCAUGUAGUUUAGGAAGGAAUUAUGGCAUUACAGUGAUUUUGGAUGGAUUUUGAGCUCUGCUAUAUUCCUCUGACCUCUCAGAAUUUCCAGGGGCCUCAGAAGGGUUGUUCCAGAUUUGUGGUUGUAUAACACCAGCAGAAUUAUAUCCCUUUAUAUUUGCAUUUAGAGCUAAUGCAUUAGUCAUCCAGGUCCCUAAACAGGUUAAUUAUCCAGUCCAGUUCUUCAGUACUGUUUUAUCUGUUCCACUCAUAACUUUUAUGAAUUUCAUUUAACAUUAGAUGAUGGUAAAUAGAUUUAAAGAUAAGCUGAACUUUUAAAGAUGGAAACUGCUGAUAUUUUUUACUAAUUUCUAGAUCUGUUGUAUUACCAGUACUCUUUGGGAAAGUUCUGAUUUAUGAAAUAUGACCUCACGGCAUGUUUUAUCUUACUGGCUUCUUGCCAUGUUGCCAGAAUGCAGUGCAUUCAGACCUAGGCACCCAAAAUGCAUGCUUCAGCAUGCAGAGAAAGAGUGCAAAGCUGGUUUUCAUUUUCUAGAAACAGAUCCUCUUUACAGUCUUCCUCCGGCUGAAUGGCUUUUUACUGUUGGUUUUGUGCUUUUGAUUGAGUUCUUUGGUUUUAUGUUUUUGAGAUAUGUAGCAUAUAUUCACAGGAAGAGUCCAAGUUUCAGAAGUUUUCUUAAAGUGAAUUUAAUGCUUUUGGAAUCUUUACUGGAAACCAUCAUUCUCUGCCUGCUCACAAAUACAGCACUUACUUAUAGCUCUACCUGCACGACUCAGGAAAGAUCCCUUACAAAAUGUUAGGUGUUUUUCCACACUUUCUCAGAAGGUGCUACUCUAGAACAGAAAAUAUAGCCUAUUUGGUAUUAUGCUGAGUUUUAAAAAUUGCCAAAAAAUCUAUUUAAGAAAGUUCAUCUUAAGAAAUACUAUCUUGAAGAUACUAACUUAAGAAAUAAUACCUUCUCACUAACCCCUAUGAAGAAUUUUUGGUUUUCAAGCAUCUAUGUAGUUCAGUUGAACUGUUCAUUCCUCUCUCAUUAGUAAUUUAAUACCCAUAUUUUUCAAAGACCAGCUCAGCAGUGUACCAAAUGUUAUUAGCAGAAGGGCAAAGCAAAAAAAGAUUCUCAUCAGAAAUCAGAACAGCCUCAGUAAAAGCCUGGCUCAAGUAUGCACUGAAUGGAGGUGAAGUUGCUGGUUUCACUUGUGGGCAGUUCAUGUGAGAUCAUUUAAAAUGAUCUGGGAAAAGCUUGAAGAUCAGCUCCUCAGUCAUGUCUGUUCUUGUGUGAUAAUGUAUUUUUCUCCAACUUCUUUUCAUCUUUAUUCAUCUAGCUGUAUCUAUAAAAUUCAUAAUUAGUAAUAGGUUAAUACAGAUACAAUUUCACUUCCCCCCCCCCUUUCCUUUAUAUUUUUCCUCUCUUUCUCUCCCAUAGCAUAUUUGAUUAAUAUUUUAGCUCUGUUGAAGGAAUGCAAAUACCAUUGCACUCACUUCUUGGAUGAUUUUUGAAACCAACAACACUUAAAUAACUAUAAAUUAAAAAGCUGGUUUUGCUGAACCUCUGGUGACACACACUCUUCUUAAUUGCAUUUAGGUCCCUGUGAUAAUAUUCUGGUAAGAUCUGAGAUAGACUUUUCAUUUCCAAGGACUAGACAGAUUUCUGAAACUGACAGCAGAGCACUCAGUACAACUUGGGUGAUAAGAUAGCACUCAGUGAAAUAACAAGCAGCAUUUAACUGCUUUGCAGAGAGGAUUGUUUUCCUGAGAGUGUUAAACCCAGAUGGAACCGGGGAGUUUAGAAACUGUGUAGAAAGUCAUGCCCUCACAAGAUUUGGUCACUGUCUAGGUCAAGAGUUUGAUGAAGUUUAGACAAGGUUCAUGUCCUGAAUCUUUGCCAUCCAUAGUGAAAAAUUUGAUAUGAUUUUGAGCAUCUGAUUAUGCAGCUGGUACCAAAUUAAUUUGUUGUUAGCCUUUUUAAGUACUGCAUUUUAGAAAUCCUCAUCUUUUUCAGACUGAAUGGUGUUUCUCCGGCAACACCUUUUAUGGGAUUUUGGAGCUAUGACCAACAAAUAAUUUUGUUCUUGUUUCUGUGACAUUUUCUACAAUUUCUGCCAAGGUAUCGACAUAUGUGAAGAACUGUGCAUUUGUUGAACUCUAUGGUUAUUUCAAUUUUGUAGGUUUUAGUCAAUAACUAUCAAGUACUGAGAUAAAGUUUGAGAAGCGAUAUUCCCUGUAAGAAGCACAGUAUAUUCAAGUGCACUGGAAGAUGAAAAGAUGAUAUACAGAAGAAAUACUGUACUCUUGGGAAUUCUAGUUAUGUCAAUUUUGGAGUCCUUUCACAAGCUAGCAUAGGAGGUGGUUUGCUUUAUGUAUUCAGUCUUACCUCAGGAGUGAUUCUCCUGAACACAGCUGACUCCAGUCUGCCUCUCUUAAUUUGAGUACAUUGAUGGGGGUGUUAUGCAUGCUAGACAACACCAGCAAAGUAGUCUCUGCACCCACAUGAAGCUUAGCAGGAAGAGGCUGAAUUUGGCCACUUGUGUCCAUCCCUCUCACUUUCAUUUAUAAAACCAUUUGAUAAAAGCGUAUCAUGUCAGGUCCCCGCAGUUUUGAUAGUGAUGGUUAACCUCCUGAACAGCUUGCCUUUAACAAUAAUUUCCCAUUUGGAGUGUAAGUCAUGUUUGGUAGUCAGGCAAUGUAUGUUUCAUGAACUGAUGACUGAGGAAGCUUCAUCUAUUUUUUUCUUUCAAAAAGACACUUAGCCAUACCUCCCCAGCUGGACAAAGGCAGUGAUGAAUAAUCACUCUUAUAAUUUUUCUUAAAUAUCAAAGUUAUCUCUCCUCAUGGCAGAGAAUUCCAAACUGUCCUGGAGAAAGCAGGCCGUGUGAAUAUCCUUGCUGAAUUGCUAAUUGUUUGCUCUGGCAGUUCCUGUGAAGCAGCUGGUUGUCUUUGGAAACCUAUGCUUGUUGUUGUGGGUUUGAACGUCAUGUGUCUUUAAUUUUCAGCACUAGCCACAGGGAUAAGUAUCACAAAUAUCUGCUUGAAGGCCUUUUGCCCCUGGGAACCCAAUAUAUACUUGGCAGCCUCUCUGACAGUGGGACUGAGGGGAGAAUCAAAGUUGACUCAUUGCUUUAUGUCCCCUUGGGGAAAAGAAGGAAUAAAAAUGGCAAUUGCUGCUUCCUUCAGUUGCCUGAGGCAAGUCUUUCCUGUUUUGGAGAGAAUAGACUAAUGUCAUUUCUAAAACAAUCUUCUUUCCCUUUGUAUGAAAAAAUUAUUCCAUCCACUAUCAUAAAGCUAAUUCUGAGGCUUGACUUCCUCACAUCCCAGUGCGGUCCUGGGUGGACUUCAGAUUUCCAUAAACCCACAACCAUAACCAGAAAUGGACAUUCAUAUCUUCCAUUCAAUGCCUACCUCCAACAGAAUCUACUGUCAUGUUCUUCAGCUCAGCAUACAGUAAACUCUAAUGAAAAUGGGGGGUUUGUACCAUGCUGUUAAGCCUGCAGGUGGCGAGAACAUGGAUUGUGCUUUAUUUAUUGUGCCCAAGCUGUUAAAAGACUCUGAUUUCCUACUGCACUAUUAGGAUCAGCCUAAAUAAGCAUCUUGCUAUGACUUCCAGUGAAGAUAUGUUCAUUACUCUGCCUGUGGGUAUAACUUCCUAAAUAUUCUCCACUUUCUAUGCCACACUGAAGUGAAGCAGUCAUUAGUUUUGGUCACAUCAUAAUACAAAGGGGAAGUCUGAGCCCCAAUGUAUGUGUUAGCUAAAGAUUAAACAGGGUGCCAGAUGAGCUUUGAGUCUUCUAGAAAUGUGGUUAGGCAGAGCUCCAAGCUCACACCAAGUGAUGCCAAGACAUUUGCUCAUGUCUCCAUUGCCCCUUAUCUCAAGUGGUGUAACUGCCAGAAAUAAUUUUCCUUAAUAGAAAAACUUCAUGCAUUUUGCAUAUUGCUCUUUCUUAUGUAAAUCUGAUUAGUUUAUGAUUUCGAUUCACAAAUAGAAUUCAACACUUGUAUUUUAGAUCUGAAAAGCAUCUUUCUUUAAGACAGCUUUUCCAUUUUUCUAGGAAACCCAUUUCUUUUAUUUUAUAAUCAGCUCAACUCAGCACAAGAAUCUUAUGGAAGGUGGUGGCAAUUAUCAACUACACAAGUCAAUAAUUUUAUUUUUGAGUCUCCAAGUUUUGCUGUUAGUCCUGAAAUUCAGUGCUAUUCUAGGGAAUAAGUUUUUGAGUUGAUGAGGGAUUUGUUAUACUACUUAAAUGCAAAUGAUAAUUUUAUCUGGGGAAGAAGCUCUCCAAGAUGAAUGGAUGUAUUAGCUUAGCAUGGAUCUGAUCGUUGCCUUGCAAAACAUUGGACAGGCUUUCAGUGAUACAGAUCCCGUCGGAAUCAGCUAUUGUAUAACAGCUGAAAAUAAUAGGUCUCAAAAUGAUUCUAAUUAUCCCUGAUUUGAAAGGUAUGACUCUUUUGAUGUUCCAAUUGAAAUAUGCUUAUUUAUUGCUUAAUUAAAUUAGUAUAUGUAAUUAAUCACUGUGUCCAACACAGAGAAUAUGAACUUGAUCAGUAAGCAAAACCUAGUCUUUACACUUGCAGGAGGGUAUGCCUGGACCUGAUUGUACAAUUAACCUUGUUUUUGCUUUGCAACAAUUUCCUUAAGUUAUAAGCACUUCAGUUUUCAUUAAAGUAUGAUUCCAUUUGCA